rnacentral:tRNA from 1 species
GCCUUGUGGUGUACAGCACAUGAAAUUGCAAAUUUUAAAGAGCAAAUAGACUCUGCCGGGGCUU